UGAGGAAGUACUUUAAGUGCACUUUAAGUAAUAAACAAAGCAAAGUUACAUUGAUAUAAAAUAAGUGGCAUUCAUUUUUUGUUUGUUCACAUUGAUGUUAAAAUUACAU